rnacentral:ncRNA from 1 species
GUAAAGAGACCUACUGCAAAGCAGGUUUUUACUAUACUGGAAUUCGCCUCACGCUCUCCUCGCCAAAUUUGAGCGUGGGGCUUUUU